rnacentral:lncRNA from 10 species
UUUGAGAAUUUUUAAAAAUUAUAUAUAAAGACAUUUUUAGGAAAUCUGAGCUGGUGUCCUCCUUUCAUUCCUUAGAACCAGACAAGAAGGCAGGAACAGUGAAGACAAAAUACAAUGCGCAAGAGCAGGGGCAGGCAACUGUUUUCUGUAAAGGGCAGCCUUCACAGGCCAAACCAUCUCUACCGAAACUACUCAGCUCUGCUGCUGUAACAAUAGACAAGACAUGAUACAUACAAGAACGGCAUGGCUCAUUCUGGCACCCAGGCUUAUAGUUUGCCUGCUCCUGGCCAACAACAAAGAUAUGGAGUCUGAUGCCCAAGUUUGAAUACUAACUCUGUUUUUUACUAGCUGUAUUAACACUGGCAAGUUAUUUAAUGUUUCUAGUGGAGUCUGAUGCCCAUGUUUGAAUACUAACUCCGUUUUUUACUAGCUGUAUUAACACUGGCAGGUUAUUUAAUGUCUCUAGUGGAGUCUGAUGCCCAUGUUUGAAUACUAACUCUGUUUUUCACUAGCCGUGUUAACACUGGCAAGUUAUUUAAUGUUUCUAGUGGAGUCUGAUGCCCAUGUUUGAAUACUAACUGUUUUUUCACUAGCCGUAUUAACACUGGCAAGUUAUUUAAUGCCUCUAGUGGAGUCUGAUGCCCAUGUUUGAAUACUAACUCUGUUUUUUACUAGCUGUAUUAACACUGGCAAGUUAUUUAAUGUCUCUAGUGGAGUCUGAUGCCCAUGUUUGAAUACUAACUCUGUUUUUUCACUAGCCGUAUUAACACUGGCAAGUUAUUUAAUGCCUCUAGUGGAGUCUGAUGCCCAUGUUUGAAUACUAACUCUGUUUUUUACUAGCCGUAUUAACACUGGCAAGUUAUUUAAUGUUUCUAGUGGAGUCUGAUGCCCAUGUUUGAAUACUAACUCUGUUUUUCACUAGUCGUAUUAACACUGGCAGGUUAUUUAAUGUCUGUAGUGGAGUCUGAUGCCCAUGUUUGAAUACUAACUCUGUUUUUCACUAGUCGUAUUAACACUGGCAGGUUAUUUAAUGUCUGUAGUGGAGUCUGAUGCCCAAGUUUGAAUACUAACUCUGUUUUUCACUAGUCGUAUUAACACUGGCAGGUUAUUUAAUGUCUGUAGUGGAGUCUGAUGCCCAUGUUUGAAUACUAACUCUGUUUUUUACUAACCGUAUUAACACUGGCAAGUUAUUUAAUGUUUCUAGUGGAGUCUGAUGCCCAUGUUUGAAUACUAACUCUGUUUUUUCACUAGCCGUAUUAACACUGGCAAGUUAUUUAAUGCCUCUAGUGGAGUCUGAUGCCCAUGUUUGAAUACUAACUCCAUUUUUUCACUACCCGUAUUAACACUGGCAGGUUAUUUAAUGUUUCUAGUGGAGUCUGAUGCCCAUGUUUGAAUACUAACUCUGUUUUUUCACUAGCUGUAUUAACACUGGCAGGUUAUUUAAUGUCUGUAGUGGAGUCUGAUGCCCAUGUUUGAAUACUAACUCUGUUUUUUACUAGCCGUAUUAACACUGGCAAGUUAUUUAAUGUUUCUAGUGGAGUCUGAUGCCCAUGUUUGAACACUAACUCCAUUUUUUCACUACCCGUAUUAACACUGGCAGGUUAUUUAAUGUUUCUAGUGGAGUCUGAUGCCCACGUUUGAAUACUAACUCUGUUUUUCACUAGCCGUAUUAACACUGGCAGGUUAUUUAAUGUCUGUAGUGGAGUCUGAUGCCCAUGUUUGAAUACUAACUCUGUUUUUUCACUAGCCGUAUUAACACUGGCAAGUUAUUUAAUGUUUCUAGUGGAGUCUGAUGCCCAUGUUUGAAUACUAACUCCGUUUUUUCACUAGCCGUAUUAACACUGGCAGGUUAUUUAAUGUCUCUAGGUCUCAGUUUCCCAUCUGCAAAAUGGGGGUAAUGAAAGUACUAAUCUCAUAUGUCUAAUAUGGAGAUGUACAUAUAAGCCAGUAUGUGUAAAGUGAUUAGCACAUGGUAAAUAAUAUGUUUACUACAUUAAUAUGUGAGCAAAUAUACAUUAAAAAGGUGUUAUUUUGUGAACUUGUAAAUAGUUGAAAUAAUGCAUUCAGCUUAGGCAACCUUGUUUCAAAAAAAAAAAGUGCAAGGUUUCAGAAAAGAAGAUGUACAAAUGACCAAUAAGCCUAUAUAUAAAACGCUCAACAUCAUUUAUCAAGGAAAUGCCAACUAAAACCACAAUAUAACGUCCUUGCACACUGUUACAAUGGCUAAAAUUAAAAAGAGACUACAUCAAAUGCUGGUGAAGGUGCGGAGCAACUGCUGACUGGAAUGCAUCAUCACUUUGGAAAAUAGUUUGGCUGUAUCUUAUUUUAACAUGUAAAAACAAGCAAACACCACCACCACCACCACCAACAACAACAACAAAAAUGCUCUUAUAUGACCCAGCAAUCUCACUACUGGUAUUUAUCCAAGGGAAAUAAACCACAUGUCCACCCAAAGACUCAUACAUGAAUAUUCACAGCAGCUUUAUUCACAAUACCUAAUCAGGGGAGACAACACAGAUGUUCAUCAGCAGGUGAAUGGAUAAACAAAUUGUGUUAUCCCAAUACAGACCACCGCUCAGUAAUAAAGAGGAACAAACUACUGACACAAACGACAUGGAUGAACCUCAGAAUCAUUAUGCUAAGUGAAAAGAGUCAGACCACAGUCUAUAACGUACAGUUCCAUUUCUUCAAAAUUCAAAACAGACAAAAGUCAUCUAUAGAUACAAAGCAGAUCAGUGGUUGCUGCAGCCAGACGUGUAGGAGGAUUGAUACCAAAGGGACAUAUGGCAACUUUUGGGGUCACGGAAAGUUCUGUAUCUUCAUUGCCAUGAUAAUCAUCGUAUAUUAUAUUCAUGGCAUACAUAUUUGUUAAUACCCAAAGUAUAUACUUAAAGUUUAUUUAAAUAAAAAGGUACAAAGAAAACAGAAAUGAGGAAGGGAGUACAACUGCAAACAGCCAACUUUAAAAGGUGAGUAAGGAGCUCAGCACAGACCAAACCAACAACUGGGAUUUUCAAUGCCUCAGGUCGGCCUGGAGGCCCACAAGUGCUGUGAAUGUGAAACCCAGGAACAAAUCUCCUGGGUUACUCUCAUGUAUGUCGAUGUCCCUUUCCGUCUCCCCUCUGUUUAAGAAAAAAAAAAAAGCUGAGAAGACAAACUUUAAGUUGGCCCCUCCCCUAAGACACCUAGCUACCUCCUUGGGGUGUGCAGGCCUUUGUACAAUCCCCUCGCCUUGCCCCUUAUGUAUGGGCAUGAUCUGUGACUUGCUUCUAACAGAAUAUGGCAAAGGUAUAUGUCACUCCUGCCAAUUACAUUUCAUAAAACUCCAUCUUGCCAUCAGAUCUUCACUAGAAGCUCUUCUUGCUGACUUAAUAAAGUACAUGGUCAUGUGGGGAAAGCCCUACCUGAGAAGGAACUGUGGGUGGUCUCCAGGAACUGUGGGUAGACUUCAGCCAAGAGCCGGCAAGAAGCCAGGGCCCUGAGUCCUACUGAUGCAAGGAGAUAAAUUCUUUCAGUGGCCCAAGCGAGCUGGGAAGUGGCUUCUUCCCCGGAUUUCCAUACGAGAACACAGCCCAGCUGACACCUUGACGAGAGCUUUAUGAGACCCUACAUGGAGGAUCCAGGUGUGUGUGGACACCUGACCCACAGAAACCAUACGAUUAAAAAAUAUAUGCUGCUUUAGGCCACAAAGUAUGUGAUAAUUCAUUAUACAAAAUAAAAAAUAUAAACAGAGGAGAAGAUACCUAAAUGGUUAAAAAGAAAAAACAAUACACCCAAUAAAGUCGGCAUUUUCAGAACACAAGCGCUAGGCAGAGCUGCCUGACUGUUGUCAGGAUCAUGCAGCAACUUCUUUAACAAGUCAUGCUGCCCUGUGUUCCUUCCUGACACCAUGACAGGAGCAACCACUCAAGUCCAGCAUCCUCUAGGCCCUAAAGUGCUACUACAUGUGACUCACAGACUUCACAACAGUUCUAAGAGCACUGGAGAACAGUACCUACUGUCCUUUAAAGCCAGGGCCUUACUCCCUUCUGUGGAGACACACACCCCUUGGCUCUAAGUGGCCCCAGUGGACAUGACACAACAAUCCCAAAGAGCCACUUAAGCUAC